AGGUAUUGGGGCUCAGGAAAGAUGCGUAGGAGGACCUGUCGGGCAACCGUCUGCUUGUACUUUAGAGAAUGGAAGAAGAGGUCGUUGGGAAAAAGAAAAGGGGGGGAGGGGUUGGGAAAGGAACGUUUAAGAAAAUCCCAGUGCUCCGAAAAGAGGGAAGACAGGCUUGAGGCGCGGCUCUUUAGGGACCCCCUACCCCCCGCCUAGGUCUUUGUCUUUUCUAAAAAUCCACUACUUUGUGAAGAGGGUUCAGGGGAAGGUACUGGAUCUUUUAAAUUUUUAUUUGAAAAAUAUCGAAGACUUUAGGGGAAAAUAAAAUACCUUCAUCUCCUGCUUCCCGAGGUCUGGAUUUUAAGGUCUGCCCCCACUUGGUCACAAUCUCACUCCCGCACUUCUCCUUGCCCAGCCGCUCUCCUUUGCCUUCUGGCUUGUAGUUCGGAUAGUUUAAUGCACCUCAGAAUCACCUGGAGGGCUUGAGAAAAUGAAGAUUUCUGGGCCCACCCACAGAGUUUCUGAUUCAGGGUGUUGUGGGUGGGGCCUGAGAAU
rnacentral:lncRNA from 1 species